rnacentral:misc_RNA from 1 species
CCAAUAGCGUAUAUUAAAGUUGUUGCAGUUAAAAAGCUCGUAGUUGAAUUUCGGGACCAAUCUGCCGGUCGUGCCUCCGGUACGCACUGGUUUUAUUGGUUUCUCCCUUCUGACGAACCAUGAUGUCAUUAAUUUGGUGUCAUGGGGAAUCAGGACUGUUACUUUGAAAAAAUUAGAGUGUUUAUAGCAGGCUCACGCUUGAAUACAUUAGCAUGGAAUAAUGAAAUAGGACGUUUGACCCUAUUUUGUUGGUUUCUAGGAUCGACGUAAUGAUUAAUAGGGAUAGUUGGGGACAGUAGUAUUCAAUUGUCAGAGGUGAAAUUCUUGGAUUUAUUGAAGACUAACUACUGCGAAAGCAUUUGCCAAGGAUGUUUUCAUUAAUCAAGAACGAAAGUUAGGGGAUCGAAGACGAUCAGAUACCGUCGUAGUCUUAACCAUAAACUAUGCCGACUAGGGAUCGGAUGAUGUUAAUUUUUUAAUGACUCAUUCGGCGCCUUACG